rnacentral:rRNA from 1 species
AGCUCCAAUAGCGUAUAUUAAAGCUGUUGCGGUUAAAAAGCUCGUAGUUGGAUUUCUGUCAAGGACAACUGGUCCGCCCUCCGGGUGAGCACAUAGUUUGGUCUUGACAUCUUGCUGGAAGCUGUUGCUGCACUUGGCUGUGUGGCGCAGUGUUCAGCACUUUCACUUUGAGGAAAUUGGAGUGUUUCAAGCAGGCACAUGCCUUUGGACACAGUAGCAUGGAAUAAUUAGAUUGGGCUUUUGCUCCAAUUUGUCGGUUUCUGGAGCUGAGGUGAGUAUUAAUGGGGAUUGUUGGGGGCAUCCGAAUUUAGCCGUCAGAGGUGAAAUUCUUGGAUCUGCUAAAGACGGACAACUGCGAAAGCGUUUGCCCAGGAUGUUUUCA